UUAGUUGAGGCCAAAAAGAGGCUAAUCAUUGUUAAUGAUUUAAUUGACUUUAGUCCAACUUA
rnacentral:tRNA from 1 species